AUUGAACGCUGGCGGCAGGCCUAACACAUGCAAGUCGAACGCGUGGCGGACGGGUGAGUAAUGUCUGGGAAACUGCCCGAUGGAGGGGGAUAACUACUGGAAACGGUAGCUAAUACCGCAUACCAUCGGAUGUUCCCCGAUGGGAUUAGCUUGUAGGUGAGGUAACGGCUCACCUAGGCGACGAUCCCUAGCUGGUCUGAGAGGAUGACCAGACACACGGGAACUGAGACACGGUCCAGACGCCUACGGGAGGCAGCAGUGGGGAAUAUUGCACAAUGGGCGCAAGCCUGAUGCAGCCAUGCCGCGUGUAUGAAGAAGGCCUUCGGGUUGUAAAGUACUUUCAGCGGGGAGGCGUUACCCGCAGAAGAAGCACCGGCUAACUCCGUGCCAGCCGCCGCGGUAAUUC
rnacentral:rRNA from 1 species